rnacentral:rRNA from 1 species
UACGAAGGGUGCAAGCGUUACUCGGAAUUACUGGGCGUAAAGGGUGCGUAGGUGGUUGUUUAAGUCUGUUGUGAAAGCCCCGGGCUCAACCUGGGAAUGGCAAUGGAUACUGGACAGCUAGAGUGCGGUAGAGGGUAGUGGAAUUCCCGGUGUAGCAGUGAAAUGCGUAGAGAUCGGGAGGAACACCAGUGGCGAAGGCGGCUACCUGGACCAGCACUGUCACUGAAGCACGAAAGCGUGGGGAGCAAACAGG